rnacentral:rRNA from 1 species
GAUGAACGCUGGCGGCGCGCCUAACACAUGCAAGUCGAACGAUUAAAGCACCUUCGGGUGUGUAUAAAGUGGCGAACGGCUGAGUAACACGUGUGCAACCAUCCCCUCUCAUUGGGAUAGGCACGGGAAACCGUGGAUAAUACCCACUACUUCUGGACUUCCGCAUGGAAGACUCGAGAAAGCCCCGGCGUAGAGGGAUGGGCCCGCGGCCUUUUAGCUUGUUGGUGGGGUAAUGGCCUACCAAGGCAAUGAUGGGUAGCUGGGUUGAGAGACCGACCAGCCAGAUUGGGACUGAGAGACGGCCCAGACUCCUACGGGAGGCAGCAGUGGGGAAUCUUGCACAAUGGGCGAAAGCCUGAUGAAGCGACGCCGCGUGCGGGAUGAAGGCCUUCGGGUUGUAAACCGCUUUCAGCAGGGACGAGGCGAAAGUGACGGUACCUGCAGAAGAAGCCCCGGCUAACUACGUG